AUGGGCUCUUAUCUAAGCACUGCAGUCAGUAAGGCUCGAUCCAUGGAUUCAGACGAGGUACAUGGAUCAGUUUCAAACAAAAGGGCCAAGAUAACCCCAUAUGACUGUGGGUCAUAUUCGAGGAUAAUUCCGACUCUUCCUGAUGAGCUUUCAUUUCAAAUUCUAGCAAGGUUACCACGGAUUCAUUACCUAAAGAUGAAGUUGGUUAGCCAAACUUGGAAGGCGGCAAUCACCGGCGCUGAGCUUGCCCAGCUGAGAAAAGAGCUUGGGUUAACUGAAGAAUGGUUGUAUAUACUGACCAGAGUUGAGGCAAAUAAGCUUGAAUGCUAUGCACUCGAUCCAUUGUUCCAGAAAUGGCAAAGGCUGCCAUCCAUGCCUUCAUUCGCCAAUGAGGCGGACUCCACUGGGAGGACGCAGUAUUCUGUGUUUCGGAUGUGGAAUGUAGUGGGCUCAAGCAUCAGGAUUGCUGAUUUCUUUAGGGGAUGGUUUUGGCGCCGAUAUGGUUUGGAUCAAAUGCCUUUUUGUGGGUGCUCUGUCGGAGUUGCUGAUGGUUGCUUGUAUGUCUUAGGGGGUUUUUCCAAAGCUGUUGCCUUGAAUUGCGUGUGGAGGUAUGACCCUUGUGUCAAUUUGUGGCAGGAAGUUAACCCGAUGAUAUCUGGUAGGGCUUUCUCUAAGGCAUCAUUAUUGGAGAGUAAGUUGUAUGUGGUUGGUGGUGUUAGUAGGGGUCGGAACGGAUUGCUUCCUCUACGGUCGGGUGAAGUGUUUGAUCCGAAAACUGGUUUAUGGAGUGAGUUGCCGGAAAUGCCUUUCGUGAAAGCACAGGUACUACCGACAGCUUUCUUGGCCGAUGUGCUGAAGCCUAUCGCCACUGGGAUGGCAUCCUAUAACGGAAAGCUCUAUGUUCCUCAGAGCCUGUACUCAUGGCCAUUCUUUUUUGAUAUUGGAGGUGAAAUCUAUGACUCAGAAUUAAACUCUUGGUCAACUAUGCCAGACGGUCUUGGCGAUGGAUGGCCAGCAAGGCAAGCAGGCACAAAAUUAGGUGUUGUAGUCAAUGAUGAGCUUUAUACAUUGGAGCCUUCCAGCUCCUUGGACAGUGGACAGAUAAAAAGGUAUGAUGCUGAAGAAGAUGUCUGGAGAACUAUGGUACCACACGUUCCAGUUCAUGAUUUCACUGAUGCGGAGUCUCCUUAUUUACUCGCUGGCCUUCAUGGGAAGCUCCAUGUUAUUACAAAAGAGGCAAACAAUAAUCUUCAAGUUAUGCAAGCUGUAUUGGAGAAUAACACGGGAAACGAUGCACCUGAAGAAAACGUCUUAUGGAACAUAGUAGCCUCGAAGAACUUUGGGGCUGCUGAGCUUAUUAGCUGUCAGGUUCUCAAUGUUUAA
rnacentral:rRNA from 1 species